CCAAUAGGUAUCUAGGGUUCCGACUACAACGCUGUAGUGUCUGGACCGAGAGUUACCAACCUCACCUGAGGUCACACGGAGGGAUAAAAGCCCGGGAGAA
rnacentral:sRNA from 2 species